rnacentral:tRNA from 4 species
GCCCUUUUAGCUCAGGGGCAGAGCGCAGCUCUCGUAAAGCUGAGGCCGUCAGUUCGAUUCUGGCAGAGGGCA